GCCAUCAGCAGCUGCUGGCGCUACUUUACGGCGCGACCUCGUUGACUGCAUUUCUUUUAACGGUAAUGGUGAAGGCGCCGUGAUUUAAGAAUGAGAGGGAAAGAUGGGGAGCGGUGAAUCGGAAGCUUUUGGACAGAGUGACGAGGGUAAGCUUUCUUUUUCUUUUUCUUUUUCUUUUUCUUUUGUUAAUUUCGGUUUGACGAAAACGGCACUGAGAUGAUGGAAAAUAGUAAGGGCUUAUUAGUAAUUUUGAGACUGCAAUUGCCAAUUGGAGACUUCCUCGUUUUUUGAAAGUCGCAAUUGGAGACGUAGUAAAGACUACGUUUUUAUGCAAGUAGAAUUUACCCGACGAAGCUGUGCUUGGUUCGAGGAAUAUAAUGUUUUUGGGGUAAAUUCUUCGUAUAAUUACUCUAAAAUUACUUUAUUAUUAUUUUUAUCACUUUAAUUUUUUUAUUAUGAAAUAUAGCACAUUUUUGUUUUGAUCUUUAAGAUGCCACAUAUUAAAAAGUUACCUACAGACAGUUUACGUCCAAUCAUUUUAGAUAACGCUUGCAUCUUUUAUAUUAUUGUAGUUACUGGCACAAAGUUAGCCAAUGUUUAUUCCUCAGAUACCAUCAUUACUUCUUUUCUGGGAAAAGAAGUUCACGACCCGUGGGCCUUCUACCUCCACGCUACAUCGCUCCGUUAGGUUUUUGCCCAUUGCGAAAAAUUCCCCACUGAUGACUCCCGUAAGAGUCUAGGUCGUGUCUCAGUCUCAGUAAGGCUGAUCAUCCUCUCGAACCAACUACUGAUCAUCGCCUUAGUAAGCUAUUGCCUCACCAACUAGCUAUCAGAUGCGAGCCCCUCCUCAAAUGGAUCCCUCCUUUUGCUCCUCAGCCUACGAGGUAUUAGCAGUUGUUUCCGACUAUUGUUCCGCUCCCAAAGGCAGGUUCUUACGCGUUACUCACCCGUCUAACUUGCAUAUGUUAAGCAUGUCACCAACGUUCAUCCUGAGCCAGGAUCGAACUCUCCAUGAGAUUCAUAGUUGCAUUACUUAUAGCUUCCUUGUUCGUUGACAAAGCCAAUUCGAAAUUGUCUUGUAUCCAUGCGCUUCAUAUUCGCCUAGAGUUCACUCUCAGAAAUAUAGUCAUUCCUACCCCCUCACUCAAUCCCACGAGCCUCUUAUUCAUUCUUAUUCGAUCACGGCGGGGACAAGGCAAAAUAGAAAAACUCACAUUAGGUUUAGGGAUAAUCAGGCUCGAACUGAUGACUUCCACCACGUUAAGGUAACACUCUACUGUUGAGUUAUAUCAUUUCCUUGCCCCUUUCAAGAAAUAGAACUGAUUAAUCCUAAGUCAAAGGAUCGAGAAACUCAACAACACCACUAUUCUUAAACAACUUGGAGCCAGGCUUUCCUUUCACACUAUUAUUCUACAAUUGUUAUAUAUUAUUACAUGUCAUUAAAGUGAUUUACAAAAAAGUUUAAUAUUAACUAAAAAAAUUUAUUGUUUAUAAAAUGACCAAUAGUGGUCUCUAAAUGGGGUUUAGAGUUUGAUUUUGGAUUUAGGAAUGGUAAUGGAGUUUAAGGUUUAAUGAUUUUGGGUUUAAGGACCACUAUUGAUCCUUUUAUAAAUAGUAAAAAAUUUUAGUUAAUGUUAAAUGAUAUUUUUGGUAAACUACUUUAAUGAUCUGUAAAAAGAUAUACACAAUUGACAGAACAAUCAGCAAUACGUGGCAUCCUAGUUAGCUUUUUGUUUAGGUUUUAACGGGACAAUGAUCAAAACAAGAAUACUUACAAACAGCAGUGUUAUAUUUGACAAAAAAAAAUUAAAGUGACUAAAACAUGAAUGAAGUAAUUUUAGAGUGACUAUUUGAGUAGUUUACCCAUAUUUUUAAGGUGUAAUAUGAGAUUUCUCUAAUAAAUUUUUACCUUUACAUUCCAAAAAUUAUCUUCAAUAGGUGAUCUCAUAUUUUCAAUAAAUAUUAAGAUUUCAGAAUAUAUUAUGUGAAUAUCAUAUUAUUUUAGAUAAUUUUUUAGUUGUGGUUGAUAUUGGCAAUGUUACAAGGCUCUCUCCAACUGUUAUAUUCUAGUUUUGAUCUCAUUUUGAAAGGUUAAAGAAUUUGAUAAUAUGCUUAGAGUAAAGAAGCAAGCAAGUCUCUUAGAUUUUUUUUCUAUUUUUUGUUAGUGAAUCUAGAGUAUUGAAAGUAACAUGAAUUCUUUGAAACCUUUCUUUCCGAUCUUAUAGUUUUAUAAAACAUCAUCUUCCUAAUUUUUAUACCAAAAUUUUCUAUAGAAUUAAACUAUUAGGGUUUAAUUUUGACUCUUAGGUUAUUUUUCACAAAAAUUGAAUCCACCAAUGAUGGAUAUUCGAGCCCCUAAUUAAUGACGACCAUUUACUCAUCAUCUUCAUAAAAAAGUUUCCAAAUUUUCCAAAGAAUUAAAAUGUUAAGGUUUGGUUUUUACUCUUGCAUUGUUUUUUUCAUAGAAAUUGAAUCCAUGAAUAAUGGGUAUUCGAGCCCCUAAUUGAUGAUGACGAUGUAUUCGAGUAGAGGGCUUUCGACCCCUUGGAAAUUUUAAAAUGUUUAGGGUUUUUUUUUUCAAUUUUUAAUCUUCUCUUUCAAUUGAUUUGUUCAAAUACAUAUAACAUAGUUUGGUUGCUAGAAUUAAUGAAUAAAAUAAAGUUUGGUUGUGGUUUGCUAUUGUUGGUUGAUAUAAUUUCUUAAUGUGCCAAUUCCAUACAUAUAUAUAUAUAAUCAAUUCAACAAGCAUGUCUCACUAUGGAAAUUUCAAGCGAGUUGUUACUUAUAACACCAUGAUUUCUCCUCUUAAUGGUUCUUGUGGUUGUUACUUAUAAAGUGCAGAAGAAUUAUGUUCCUAAUAAAGUUGAGUCAUUACCAAUUUUUUGUGUUGGAGUUGCAUUUUUUGAUGAAAUUUUAACCAAAUCAUUUCUUUCUUAACAUAUUGAGAAGGAAAUCGAGGAUAUAAGAUUGAUUGUGUUGAAUCUAACCCCAUCAUCAAAAGAGCUUUUUGUCAUUCCAGUUGAGAGUAAUUCUCUUCAGAUGGUAUUGAUGUUAAGGAGAGAUUGAAUAAGUGAUUAGAUGUUGUUACUAGUAAAGAAAAUAUUCUUAUUCAUUUUCAGAUAUUUUCAUAGAAAAAUAUUACUUUUGAAAAUGAGUACACUAGAGUUGUGUUAGGAUCUUGUACCUCAAGGAUCCCUUGCCAUGUCAUUUCUGCCACAAAAAGGAUUAGGGCUAUUUUUUUCAGCUAACAUACAGUAUGUUGAUUCGAGAUGAGAGAUUCCUAUUAUGCUCCCACUUCAUGAUUGUCCUGCACAUGAGCUCAACGCUCUUUGUAGCCUUGAUGGUCUAAAAAUAGUAGAGUUUCUUAAUGGUCUAUGCUCUAGUAUUGGUCAUGUUAGAUUUGCUUAUGGUUUAUGUUUGAUACUAGGAAAUAGUUACAUGAUGGUUAAUUGAAUAACAUAUGCAUGAUAGUAAUAUUUUAAGUGAUAUGAUAAUGGUAUAUGAUUAACAAUUGUGGUGUCAAUGAGGACACAUUGGUUUGGCACAAAGUUGUAUGAAUUUGAUAUGUUUUUUAUGUGUUAAAUGUGAUUUUGAAUAAGUCAUUUUGGUUAGAAAUAGGAUGGCUUGGUGUCCAAGUUAAAAUGGUUGUUUUGGCUUGAUAAUAAAGUAAUUUAGCUGCACACGGCCGUGUGCCACACACGAUCACACCAUACGGUCGUGUGUGUUAAUUUGAUUUUAGGAACAUGUUGCACACGCUUUGGCACACAGCCUGUAACACGACCGUGUAGCCCUAUUUCAACUACCCAUAUGACGGACACACGGGUUAGAACACAGUCGUGUGUCAUAACUUCGAAUGUUCAUACGGUUUGAGCUAUGUCACACGGCCAUAUGACCCCUAUUUUCUAAAAUUUUUAAGAUUUUUCUAAAAUUUUAUGAAUUUUUUCGUUUUAAUCUUAGAUUGUUCCCAAACUAUUUUUAGGGCCCCAUAGGCUCGAUUAAAGACCCAUACGUGUACUUUUGCCAUGGUUAGAUUUAAUUGUUAUGUAUAUUGGCAUUUAAUUGUAUAAUCGAUUUUGUGGUGAAGUUAAAUAUUAUAUUUUGAUUGGUAAUGCUCUGUAACUCUAAUCUGACAAUAGAGACAGGAUAGGGGUGUUACAGUAGAUGACUCUCACUGAGCCGCACGACGAUGUGCACCACGAGUUCGUACUCUAUGGUUAUCCAUGACACUUAUCGAUAAAUAUUUAUGAGUUUUAUCUGACAAUUUUUAGAAACAAGUUUUAUGUUAUCACUUCAGUAUUUUCAAUCAGAGUUUCACUAUCUAGAAGUAUAUCAUCUAAUAGUCUAAGGUUUUAUAAUCUAAAGUUUCAAGUAUAGAGAGUACUUAUCUUAGAUCGGCUUCGAGAGUCUCGUAUUUUUAAAAAUUUAAUUUUUAAUUUUAAUAGAAAAAUAUUUUUCUAAAUUACUCUUUAAAAUAUGCAUUCAGACCCGUUUAAAAUCCAUAGUUUGAGUUUUGAACUUGACUAUGAUACCACUAAAUGUGGUAGCCAACACUCAGCCCGGUAAGAUAUUGUCUGCUUUAGGCACACAUGGCCCUCACAGCUUUGUUUUUGGAAGGGCCCAUACACCCCAAAAGGCAUAUUACCACUUAAGUGGUUCUACCCUUUUAUAUAGCCCAGGUCUCUCCCAUGUUUUCCCGAUGUGGGAUUUGCCUAGGGUAUUACAAAUAUGCAUGUUCAUAGGUAUUAAGUCGAUUAAUUAACCAAGUUAAGGUAUAAUACAUUGACUGUUAUGUUAUUGAAUGUCUUAGAUAUGUUUUAGACAUUAAAUUGAUGUAUUAUGAAUUGGUAUAAUGUUAGCCUAGGUAAGGCUUAUAUCGAAAAUCAUUUGAAUGUGUUAAAAUUUGUAUAAUAGGUGAAAUUGUCAUUUGGUUUCGAGACAAUGAGGUUAUUUUCUUAAAACGUAAAGAAUAAAAUAUUUGUUUCCAACAUUUCUGGGUAAUUGUCUCGAGACAUGAUGAACAAGCUCAAGACACAAAUGGCUAAGUCUCAAGACUUAGACCCCAAUGUUUCGAUAUAAAAAACAUUGAAUGUAAAGUCCAAAAUAGGGGAGGUGAGUCUCAAGGCCUGUCUCAAGACACAAUGCACAAAGUCUCGAGACAUGAACCCACAAAGUCUCGAGACAAGAACCCCUAAUGUCUCAAGACAAGAAAACAUCGAAGCUAGGGGUCUAAAAUAAGGUAAGCUUGUUUCAAGACAUGACCCUCAAUGUCUCGAGACAUUUAGUUGAAUUUUUAUAUUUGAGUUUGGAUUUGAGUCCUCGCUCAUUAUUUUACCCCGUAUAAACUCAAGACCUGUUAAGUGUGGUCAUUAAACAUUGAUAAAGCAUGAUCAUAAUUGUAAUUGAAAAUGUUUUGAAUUUUUCCAUGUUUAUAUUAUAACAGCCCGUUUUUUAGUGGUGUUAGAAAUAGUGGUUUAGGGGCCACAAAUCUGAUGAGAGAGCCCGUAAAUAUUAUUAUUUAAUGUUUACAAGUCAAAUAUAGUAUUAUAGUCAAUUUUGAAUUGAUAAUUUUAGUUAAUUGAAUGAUUAAUUAAGUUCAAGUGGGUUAUCUCUAAAGUAAAGUGGUUUUAGAAAAUGAGGUAUCGAGACCUCGUUUCUAUAAAUCGAGCCCAUAAAUAUUUUUAUUAAAUAUUUAUAGAGUGAUUAUAUAGGUGUAUUAAAAUUUGGUUAGGUAAUUUUGAUGUUUAGUUAGUUAAUUAAAGAAAAAUGAUUAAAUUGUAAAAGGUAAAAAAGUUACUUAUUUUUUAUUUAUUUUAACAUAAUGGUAUAAAUAAUUAAAGUGGGGGAUUAAUGUUGAAAUUAGACCCUAACACUUGAAUAUGGACGAUUUUGGGUUUGCAAAUGUUAAUUUUACAUGGUUUAAUUAAGGGCAAAGUGGUAAAUGUUCAAUUAAAUUGUAAUCAAAUAAAAAAACAAAGGCUAUCAUCUCUUUCCUUUUUUUUUUUGCCGAAAAUGGGAAGAAAGAAACUGGGAGUUAAUUUAGUUAAGGGCAAAGUGGUAAAUAUUUAAUUAAAUUAUAAUCAAAUAAAAUAAACAAAUGCUAUCAUCUCUUUCCUUUGUUUUUGCCGAAAAUGGGAAGAAAGAAACUGGGAGUAGCUUAAGUGCUUGGUCAUUUGGUGUAUUGCAUGUAAGCCCGUUUCUUAUCUGAUUUUAAUGAAUUUUAUAUUUUCGUGAUCAUGGUAUUGAUAUCCAACUAGUUUAGAGACUAAUUUGUGAAAUUGAUAAACAUCUAAAAAUUUAUCAUUGAUGAUUUUGAGUGCUUUUGAUAUUAUGUGAUUUUAUUGAAAGCUUGAUUAUUAGAUGAGAUUAAAUUUGUAAAGUGAUUUUUAGUAAUUUUUGUGUUUAGUGAUUAAAUCGAAAAUAAACUAAAAUAGACAUGGUUUUUCUAGAUAAAUAAAAAAUUUUAGGGCUUUUUUAGAAUGGUUAAAUAUUAGGUUCAAUGGGUUUAAAGUUUAAUUAUGAGAAAUAAGCUUGUUUUGGUCUUAAGGACCAAACUAAUUAAAAUGUAAAAGUUUGGGGCAAAUGUGUAAAAAUUGUAAAUAGGAAGUUAUAUGUAUAAAAUUGAAUGAUAUAUGAAAUUGAGGUUAAUAAUUGAAAUAAAUUAUAUUAUAUAUCAAGAUCAAGUAGAAAACUGAGGAAAAUGGAAAGUUGUUGAAUAGUCCCUGAACUAUUGCAAACUCUAUAGUUUAGGCCUGGUAAGUUCAUUCAGUUUAAUUUAAUAUAUUUUAAAUUUCAUAUUGAGUGAAAAAAUUGAUUAUCAAAUGUUCAAUUUACUAUAUAUUAGAUAUUAUAUUAAUGAGAAUUGAAGUAGUGAAUCGUUUAUAAUACUGAUUAGUGAUGAUAACUCUUGAGCCGAAUGAAUGUAGGAUAGAGUACGAUUGGCAUGCCAAUAGGUUAUAGUGUGCGUAGUACGGGAAUUGAUUUGAGAUGAGACGAUAAUUCCUGUCCUGUGAUUUUACACUUAAUAUAUCGAAGCCCAACAUUUGUUGCGGACUAUCGCAAUAUAUUACAGUGAUUCUAGCGUGUUACCAGGGGUCAAUGUAAAGCCUUUGGGAUUGGCACUUAGUGCCCAGGUGUGUUUUCAGAGGGAUGUUAGCCUACGGGUUAGGCAUUUGAUGUCGAGGCGUGUUAUCGAUUGGAUUGGCUCAUUUGAGCGUUUGGCGUGUUUCGAAUGGAUAACUGUGUACUCAUAUCCAUAUAUUGUUCAUCGGCAAUGUUUCUUGUGUUAAAUGUCUUGAUAUCAAAUUGUUGAAAGAUUAUUCAUGAAUCUUCUAAUAGCAUUGUGGCUUGAUAAUGAAUGAUCUCGUACUUGUUUAAGUAUAAAUUCAUCUGUUGUGGAUUGUGGUUGACAUGAAACUCUAACUUUUAAUCUUGUUAUUAAAAUUGUUAUGUUUAAUUCAGCAAGCUUUAUUGUGUUAACCAUUGAACUUACUAAGCUCUAGUGAAGUUUACUCGUAUUCUUUUCUGUUCCUUGUAGAUAACGUUUUGUGGAGUCGAGCAAUCGGAUCAACUUAAAGAUCAUACUAUCCAGAUUCAUUUUGGUAGAUUUUGAUAUGCUUAUUUUGGGUUAUAUGGCAUGUAAUAGGUGUUUUUGUAUAUGUUUAGAUAAUUAUUACAAAUGUUAUAUUUUAAGCUUGGUAUAAGCUUACUUGUGUAUGUGCCUUCAAUCUUGGUGUGAAUAUGUUCAUAUAAAGUUGUUUUGGUCAUAUGAUAUAAACCUUAUGUAAGUGUUUGAAUCAUGAUAUGAAUGAAUAUGAAUGAUUAAGAAGAAAUGAUAAGUUUGGU
rnacentral:lncRNA from 1 species